UGGGGAAUUUUGGGCAAUGGGCGAAAGCCUGAUCCAGCAAUGCCGCGUGUGUGAAGAAGGCCUUCGGGUUGUAAAGCACUUUUGUCCGGAAAGAAAUCCUUGGCUCUAAUACAGUCGGGGGAUGACGGUACCGGAAGAAUAAGCACCGGCUAACUACGUGCCAGCAGCCGCGGUAAUACGUAGGGUGCAAGCGUUAAUCGGAAUUACUGGGCGUAAAGCGUGCGCAGGCGGUUUGCUAAGACCGAUGUGAAAUCCCCGGGCUCAACCUGGGAACUGCAUUGGUGACUGGCAGGCUAGAGUAUGGCAGAGGGGGGUAGAAUUCCACGUGUAGCAGUGAAAUGCGUAGAGAUGUGGAGGAAUACCGAUGGCGAAGGCAGCCCCCUGGGCCAAUACUGACGCUCAUGCACGAAAGCGUGGGGAGCAAAACAGGAUUAGAUACCCUGGUAGUCCACGCCCUAAACGAUGUCAACUAGUUGUUGGGGAUUCAUUUCCUUAGUAACGUAGCUAACGCGUGAAGUUGACCGCCUGGGGAGUACGGUCGCAAGAUUAAAACUCAAAGGAAUUGACGGGGUCAUAGCUGUUUCCU
rnacentral:rRNA from 1 species